UGUUUUGUGCAAUGCUGCUAAAUUUCGCGGUUUUUGUAUACACACGGUCUUUUCCCGCGUGCUAAAUGCAUAAUGUGGUGACAAUGAAAAACCAAUAUUAAAGUAGCGCUGGUGUCGCAGUAAUACGUGAUCGCCUCUCUAAUAAAAUAUGAUUUAUGGUUGAAUUAUUGUUGGCGGGAAAGCCGGCAAAAAAUAUUGUGCUGUGCCUUCGUGUUGCAAAAGAUUCACUUUCUUUACAUAAACCAAAGACUAGAUUAAAACUCUCUCCAUUGAAAGAUUUGAUCGCCACAUCUCGAGAGACACUGAGCUAUUGCUAUUUGAUCGUAAUUCGUUUAUCGUAAGUACACAAUUAUUGUGGAUGAGCUGUGGAAUGCUGGAUUUAUAUAUUGAAGAAGCCGGAAAGUAGAAAAUGUCCGAAACAAAAUUGUACGCAAUUGUACAAUUUUUAGCUGAUGAAUCUUUCUCAGAGAUUCCAACAAAUUGGAUUCAACGAAAUAAUGAUGGCUUUAUUUGUUGGUGGCCUAACACAAAGAAUAUCAGUUCGCUUAUUAAAAAUCGAGAUGAACCGGAUAAAAAAUUAUGGUCAAGAUUUGAUAUAACGGUGAUAAAAUAUUGUUCGUCACUUGCAUCUGCUCGCAAAUCAGCUGCAGAUGCUCAGUAUGGUACGACUGAUGAAGAAAAAUGUGGCCGAGGACAAAGAAAAUUAAAGAAAAAUGAAUAUUAUUUUUCUGAGAACGAUGAAAAUGAUUAUACUGACGAUUCGAAUGAUGAAGAAAGAAACGCGUGUGAUGAUGAUGAAGAAAAUUACGAUAACGAAAAAAACAAAUCGGUUAAACACUUGAAACAGAAUAUUAAUCGAUCUGUUUUUAAUUCUAUUCCUGAAUACAAUUCUCAGCAAAAAGAUAAUUGUUGCCAAUCUAUCAAUACUUCCAGUACUGAUAAAAAUUCAAAUUGUUUUGUUUCCAAAAAUACUGAUAAUGAAAUUUCAGUAUCACGCACAAAUAACAACAAAUGCAGUUCUAAUGAAAAACAAAAAAAAUUACAUAUUCUGAUAAGUCCGCAUCACCCUCUGGUAUAAUGGAUAUUGAGAGUAUUCCUAUCUUAGAACUUCCAGAAAUACAAGAUAUUUAUAAAAUUCUAGAACGGAUAGAAACAGGUUUAGAUAAAGUUAUACGUGCAAACGUUGCUACCAAUUUCGAGCUAAAAAGUAUCUCGAGAAGAUUAAGUACAUUGGAGUCUGGUCAACGUAAUGAUGCAGAAUUGACAGAAAAUGAUAUGGUAAUGAUAAUGCCCUUAUUGCCACUACAAACAGUCGAAUCUAUAAAAGAAUUCGAAAAUUUAAUUAUAUCAAACGAAAUUGCUGCAUCGCAAUUUAAAAAAUUGAUCCUAAAAGUUGGAGGCACCACUCCACGAAAUAGCGUUCAUCGUACUUUAGAACGAAUAAUCAGCAAUAAAUGCGCAAUAAAUUGUUCCUGGAAAGGCGUUCGAUUAAAUUAUAAAAUAAGCAAUUUAACAUUUAUUAAGAAUAUACGUGAUAUUAUAUGCUCUGUACAUUCAGGUUUAACUGAAUCCGAAUUCGAUAUAACUGCUGCGGAAUGGUUCAGGUUUGCAAAGCAACGAGCAAUACGGGAAGAAAAAAAAUCUAUAAUACAUAGUGCUAUUUACAUUUAAUAUACUCACACACGUUAAACACACGUUAAAUUGCUUUAGUUUAAAAAUUCAUUUAUAUAUCUUAAUUAUUUGUGAUAUCAUAAAU